ACAUCUCUCUGUACGGGAAGGAUGAGAAGCUUCGACUAAGGUUCGAUUCGAGCGAAAGCGAGAAAGCGUUGCCGCAGGCAACGACCCGAAGGGCGAAACGCGCAGCGCUGAGUCAUCCUUCCCCCACCACCA
rnacentral:sRNA from 3 species